UCUAAAAUGGCAGAAUAGUGCACUGGAUUUAAACCCCAAUUAUAAAUAACUUUUUUUAGAA
rnacentral:tRNA from 1 species